rnacentral:rRNA from 1 species
UGGGGAAUAUUGCACAAUGGGCGCAAGCCUGAUGCAGCCAUGCCGCGUGUAUGAAGAAGGCCUUCGGGUUGUAAAGUACUUUCAGCGGGGAGGAAGGGAGUAAAGUUAAUACCUUUGCUCAUUGACGUUACCCGCAGAAGAAGCACCGGCUAACUCCGUGCCAGCAGCCGCGGUAAUACGGAGGGUGCAAGCGUUAAUCGGAAUUACUGGGCGUAAAGCGCACGCAGGCGGUCUGUCAAGUCGGAUGUGAAAUCCCCGGGCUUAACCUGGGAACUGCAUUCGAAAAUGGCAGGCUAGAGUCUUGUAGAGGGGGGUAGAAUUCCAGGUGUAGCGGUGAAAUGCGUAGAGAUCUGGAGGAAUACCGGUGGCGAAGGCGGCCCCCUGGACAAAGACUGACGCUCAGGUGCGAAAGCGUGGGGAGCAAACAGG